UAAAUGAACAAGAAACAGCUACCCUUCCAAAAAACAAGGGUAGCGGACACAUAUUACUUUAUGUAUCCGCUACCCUUUCUCAAAGAAAAGGAAGCGGAAAUAAUUUCAAUUAAAAAAGAAAAAGAAAAAUCAAAAUUAAAAACAAAAAGAAAAACAAAAUUAAUCCUCAAUCUGAAUUGAAACAACGCGACCCUUUAGGGCAUACAGCAGCGAGCGCAGCCUCCCUCUGCCUCCAACGCGACUCACACCGCCGGCGACUCCAACGCCGUCCCCUUCCUCAGCUUCCCUCACCUCCGUCGUUCACCUCCCUCGCUCCUCCCACGCUAAGGCUGCCGGCGCCUACAGCAGCCACCCAAGACGCCGCCACCACCCGUCGACGCCGACGCCGACACAGGUCUGCUCUGCCGCCGCUGCUUCUGCUUCGAUCCGCUGCUGCCGAUUUGGAUCAGUCAACGCAACAGGUUUGGCUAGAGAUGUGAUUGCUGAUGAUUUCUAUUUCAUAUUUGUAUAUCAUGUGUGAAAUGAUCCACAGGAUCCUUCUUUGGAAGUAUUGAUGCUGCUAGAUUCAGUCUCACUGUGAAGUUAAUGCAGGAAGGAAGAAUGUGGGGUCAAGCUUUUAUUACAUUUCCAUUCAGUUGAGCUUGCUCAGAAUGCUUUGCUAUGGAGCUAGCACUGUCAUUGGAGAAGUUAGUGAAUCAGAAACUCCUCAACCUCCAUGCUGUAAAGUGUGAUUAAUUUCAUCCAAUUACUCUUAUGGAUUAAAGAAAUUGGGUGUGAUUGACCCUAUAUCCAGAAAUUGGGUUUUUGAGUAAUUAUUGUAAUGCAACUGUCAUUGGAGAUGGAUGGCAAUGGUGUGGCAUGAAGUCUGUUUCUUUCCAGAGUUAUGAAGUGAUUGAUUUCUCAUUACAUAUCUCAUUAGUGAUUGACCCUAUAUUUAUCAAAUUAUUGAAGAUGGCAAUGGUGUGGCAUGAAGUCUGGGCUGUUUCUUUCCAGAGUUAUGAAGUGAUUGAUUUCUGGGUAUUAGAUCGUAGUAGCUAGCUUAUGUUGUAUUUGCCAAUGUGUUUUGAUCUUAGAAACUUUUACUUUUGGAAGAGUGCUUGUAACUUGUUUUUAGAUUAAGUAUUAUCUUUUGUUUAUAACUUGAAAGUAUUUGCGUGGAUUAUUUUAUGAGAUUAUUAUAUUGCA